AGGAGCCACAGGAUCAUCAGUCUUCGCCAGUCCGUUGCCCCUGAUGGAAUCCAGUACCACGAGUGGUCGCCUGAAUCAGCUUCCAGCCGGUCUCGCCAAUCUGUCCUCCCCUGCGGUCCCACCACGAGCCUCUGCCACCUCAAGUAUCCCAACCUUCGCCAGCAUCUGCCUACGGAGAAAUCCACCAGUGACGCCGCUAACCUCUGUCUCCAGUUUGGAACCGACAUCCAGUCCUGCUCACGCUCUGCUCUCUGCUCCUCGAAUUAAAUCUCUUACCUGCCA